rnacentral:pre_miRNA from 1 species
AAGGAUGCCGGUUUGAGCUUUAAAAGGUUAAAUAUUAGUUUGGGUUUU